UACGUAGGGUGCAAGCGUUGUCCGGAAUUAUUGGGCGUAAAGAGCUCGUAGGCGGUUUGUCGCGUCUGCUGUGAAAACUCGGGGCUCAACUCCGAGCUUGCAGUGGGUACGGGCAGACUAGAGUGCGGUAGGGGAGACUGGAAUUCCUGGUGUAGCGGUGGAAUGCGCAGAUAUCAGGAGGAACACCGGUGGCGAAGGCGGGUCUCUGGGCCGUUACUGACGCUGAGACGCGAAAGCGUGGGGAGCGAACAGG
rnacentral:rRNA from 1 species